GAUGAACGCUGGCGGCGUGCCUAAUACAUGCAAGUCAAGCGAACAUACGAGGUGCUUGCUCCUCUGACGUUAACGGCGUACGGGUGAUUACCACGUGGAUAACCUAACUAUAAGAAUCGGAUACCUUCGGGUAACCGUAGCUAAUUACGGAUACUAUAUUUAACCGCAUGGUUCAAUAGUGAAAGACGGUUUUGCUGUCACUUAUCGAUGGAUCCGCGCCGCAUUAGAUAGUUGGUAAGGUAACGGCUUACCAAGGCAACGUUGCGUAGCCGACCUGAGAGGAUGAUCGGCCACACUGGAAGUGAGAUACGGUCCAGACUCCUAGGGGAAGCAGCAGUAGGGAAACUGCAGCAAUGAGCGGAAGACUGACGGAGCAACGCCGCGUGAGUGAUGAAGGUAUUCUGAGCGUAAAACUCUGUUAUUAGGGAAGAAAAAAUGUGUAAGUAACGAUGCACGAAAUGACGGUACCUAAACAGAAAGCCACGGCUAACUACGUG
rnacentral:rRNA from 1 species